GCGGCGUGCCUAAUACAUGCAAGUCGAACGCGCAGCGAGAGGUGCUUGCACCUUUCAAGCGAGUGGCGAACGGGUGAGUAACACGUGGAUAACCUGCCUCAAGGCUGGGGAUAACAUUUGGAAACAGAUGCUAAUACCGAAUAAAACUUAGUAUCGCAUGAUAUCAAGUUAAAAGGCGCUACGGCGUCACCUAGAGAUGGAUCCGCGGUGCAUUAGUUAGUUGGUGGGGUAAAGGCUUACCAAGACGAUGAUGCAUAGCCGAGUUGAGAGACUGAUCGGCCACAUUGGGACUGAGACACGGCCCAAACUCCUACGGGAGGCUGCAGUAGGGAAUCUUCCACAAUGGGCGCAAGCCUGAUGGAGCAACGCCGCGUGUGUGAUGAAGGCUUUCGGGUCGUAAAGCACUGUUGUAUGGGAAGAAAUGCUAAAAUAGGGAAUGAUUUUAGUUUGACGGUACCAUACCAGAAAGGGACGGCUAAAUACGUGCCAGCAGCCGCGGUAAUACGUAUGUCCCGAGCGUUAUCCGGAUUUAUUGGGCGUAAAGCGAGCGCAGACGGUUGAUUAAGUCUGAUGUGAAAGCCCGGAGCUCAACUCCGGAAUGGCAUUGGAAACUGGUUAACUUGAGUGUUGUAGAGGUAAGUGGAACUCCAUGUGUAGCGGUGGAAUGCGUAGAUAUAUGGAAGAACACCAGUGGCGAAGGCGGCUUACUGGACAACAACUGACGUUGAGGCUCGAAAGUGUGGGUAGCAAACAGGAUUAGAUACCCUGGUAGUCCACACCGUAAACGAUGAAUACUAGGUGUUAGGAGGUUUCCGCCUCUUAGUGCCGAAGCUAACGCAUUAAGUA
rnacentral:rRNA from 1 species